GAUGAACGCUGGCGGCGUGCCUAAUACAUGCAAGUCGAGCGAACAGACGAGGGGCUUGCUCCUCUGACGUUAGCGGCGGACGGGUGAGUAACACGUGGAUAACCUACCUAUAAGACUGGGAUAACUUCGGGAAACCGGAGCUAAUACCGGAUAAUAUAUUGAACCGCAUGGUUCAAUAGUGAAAGACGGUUUUGCUGUCACUUAUAGAUGGAUCCGCGCCGCAUUAGCUAGUUGGUAAGGUAACGGCUUACCAAGGCAACGAUGCGUAGCCGACCUGAGAGGGUGAUCGGCCACACUGGAACUGAGACACGGUCCAGACUCCUACGGGAGGCAGCAGUAGGGAAUCUUCCGCAAUGGGCGAAAGCUUGACGGAGCAACGCCGCGUGAGUGAUGAAGGUCUUCGGAUCGUAAAACUCUGUUAUUAGGGAAGAACAAAUGUGUAAGUAACUAUGCACGUCCUGACGGUACCUAAUCAGAAAGCCACGGCUAACUACGU
rnacentral:rRNA from 1 species